rnacentral:lncRNA from 1 species
UAAUAUCCUUUCUCAUUUAUCCACGUCGAGCUCGCCGGCACUGACACAUCUUUAUUGUCCUCCUCAUUGUCAUCAUCAUUGUCGACGCCGGCAUAUUAUUGCCUUCGCCACCUUCAUCACAUUUGGAGAGGUAUUUUGAUCUAACCUGAAAAAUUUUUUUAAUAUACUUUUAUACUAUUUUAGCAUUAUUUUUAUUAUUUUCUCAUUUUUAUUUAUACACAAAUAUAAAGUAUAUAUAUUUUUAGUAAUAUUAUUUUUUUAUUUUUACUUAUAUUUUUCUCAAAUAUUCUCAUUUGUCCCCGUAUUCUCAUUUGUCCCCGUCGCCGACACUGACGCAUCAUUAUCAUUCUCCUCAUCAUCAUCAGUGCCGACACAUUGUUGCUU